CAGGUGCUGCAUGGCUGUCGUCAGCUCGUGUCGUGAGAUGUUCGGUUAAGACCGGCAACGAGCGCAACCCACAUCUUUAGUUGCCAGCAGUUCGGCUGGGCACUCUAAAGAAACUGCCCGUGAUAAGCGGGAGGAAGGUGUGGAUGACGUCAAGUCCUCAUGGCCCUUACGGGCUGGGCUACACACGUGCUACAAUGGCAGUGACAAUGGGUUAAUCCCAAAAAGCUGUCUCAGUUCGGAUUGGGGUCUGCAACUCGACCCCAUGAAGUCGGAAUCGCUAGUAAUCGCGUAACAGCAUGACGCGGUGAAUACGUUCCCGGGCCUUGUACACACCGCCCGUCAAACCAUGGAAGCUGGGAGUGCCUGAAGUCGGUUACCGCAAGGAGCCGCCUAGGGUAAAACUGGUAACUAGGGCUAAGUCGAAACAAGGUAGCCGUACCGGAAGGUGCGGCUGGAACACCUCCUU
rnacentral:rRNA from 1 species